CCUACGGGGUGCAGCAGUGAGGAAUAUUGGUCAAUGGGCGCGAGCCUGAACCAGCCAAGUAGCGUGAAGGAUGACUGCCCUACGGGUUGUAAACUUCUUUUAUAAAGGAAUAAAGUGAGGCACGUGUGCCUUUUUGUAUUUACUUUAUGAAUAAGGAUCGGCUAACUCCGUGCCAUCAGCCGCGGUAAGACGGAGGAUCCGAGCGUUAUCCGGAUUUAUUGGGUUUAAAGGGCGCGUAGAUGGGUUGUUAAGUCAGUUGUGAAAGUUUGCGGCUCAACCGUAAAAUUGCAAUUGAUACUGGCAGUCUUGAGUACAGUUGAGGUAGGCGGAAUUCGUGGCGUAGCGGUGAAAUGCUUAGAUAUCACGAAGAACUCCGAUUGCGAAGGCAGCUUACUAAACUGCCACUGACAUUGAUGCUCGAAAGUGUGGGUAUCAAACAGGAUUAGAUACCCGGGUAGUC
rnacentral:rRNA from 1 species